rnacentral:rRNA from 1 species
GGUCCGACUAAGCCAUGCGAGUCAUGGGGCGCCUUGCGCGCACCGGCGGACGGCUCAGUAACACGUCGGUAACCUACCCUCGGGAGGGGGAUAACCCCGGGAAACUGGGGCUAAUCCCCCAUAGGCCUGAGGUACUGGAAGGUCCUCAGGCCGAAAGGGGCUUCUGCCCGCCCGAGGAUGGGCCGGCGGCCGAUUAGGUAGUUGGUGGGGUAACGGCCCACCAAGCCGAAGAUCGGUACGGGCCAUGAGAGUGGGAGCCCGGAGAUGGACACUGAGACACGGGUCCAGGCCCUACGGGGCGCAGCAGGCGCGAAACCUCCGCAAUGCGGGAAACCGCGACGGGGGGACCCCCAGUGCCGUGGCAUCGCCACGGCUUUUCCGGAGUGUAAAAAGCUCCGGGAAUAAGGGCUGGGCAAGGCCGGUGGCAGCCGCCGCGGUAAUACCGGCGGCCCGAGUGGUGGCCGCUAUUAUUGGGCCUAAAGCGUCCGUAGCCGGGCCCGUAAGUCCCUGGCGAAAUCUCACGGCUCAACCGUGGGGCUUGCUGGGGAUACUGCGGGCCUUGGGACCGGGAGAGGCCGGGGGUACCCCUGGGGUAGGGGUGAAAUCCUAUAAUCCCAGGGGGACCGCCAGUGGCGAAGGCGCCCGGCUGGAACGGGUCCGACGGUGAGGGACGAAGGCCAGGGGAGCGAACCGGAUUAGAUACCCGGGUAGUCCUGGCUGUAAAGGAUGCGGGCUAGGUGUCGGGCGAGCUUCGAGCUCGCCCGGUGCCGAAGGGAAGCCGUUAAGCCCGCCGCCUGGGGAGUACGGCCGCAAG